CCUACGGGAGGCAGCAGUGGGGAAUAUUGCGCAAUGGGCGAAAGCCUGACGCAGCGACGCCGCGUGAGGGAUGAAGGUCUUAGGAUCGUAAACCUCUGUCAGCAGGGAAGAACGGUCACUGUGCUAAUCAGCAGUGAAUUGACGGUACCUGCAAAGGAAGCACCGGCUAACACCGUGACAGCAGCCGCGGGAAUACGGAGGGUGCGAGCGUUAAGCGGAAUUACUGGGCGUAAAGCGCUCGUAGGCGGUAUGUCAAGGCAAGGGUGAACUCCCCGGGCUCAACGUGGGAACUGCCUUUGAAACUGGCAAACUGGAGUGUGUGAGAGGAUAGUGGAAUUCCAGGUGUAGGAGUGAAAUCCGUAGAUAUCUGGAGGAACAUCAGUGGCGAAGGCGACUAUCUGGCACAUAACUGACGCUGAGGAGCGAAAGCGUGGGUAGCAAACAGGAUUAGAUACCCGGGUAGUC
rnacentral:rRNA from 1 species